rnacentral:rRNA from 1 species
UGGGGGAUAUUGCGCAAUGGGGGCAACCCUGACGCAGCAACGCCGCGUGAAGGAAGAAGGUCUUCGGAUUGUAAACUUUUGUCUUGUGGGACGAAACGAAUGACGGUACCACAGGAGGAAGCCACGGCUAACUACGUGCCAGCAGCCGCGGUAAUACGUAGGUGGCAAGCGUUGUCCGGAAUUACUGGGUGUAAAGGGUGCGUAGGCGGGGAUGCAAGUCAGAUGUGAAAUCUAUCGGCUUAACUGGUAAACUGCAUUUGAAACUGCAUUUCUUGAGUGGUGGAGAGGUAAGCGGAAUUCCUAGUGUAGCGGUGAAAUGCGUAGAUAUUAGGAGGAACACCAGUGGCGAAGGCGGCUUACUGGACACUAACUGACGCUGAGGCACGAAAGCAUGGGGAGCAAACAGGAUUAGAUACCCUGGUAGU